GAUGAACGCUGACAGAAUGCUUAACACAUGCAAGUCGAUGGGGAAGUGGUGCUUGCACCAUGGCAACCCUGGCGGACGGGUGAGUAACGCGUAAGGGACUUACCUGCAGGACUGGGAUAACAGGGGGAAACUCCUGGCAAGACCGGAUAAUGUCAUGGAGCUGCAUGGCUUUAUGAUGAAAGGAGACGCCUGCGGAGAGCCUUGCGUCCUAUUAGCUAGUUGGUGAGGUAAUGGCUCACCAAGGCGAAGAUAGGUAGCCGGCCUGAGAGGGUGGACGGCCACAAGGGGACUGAGAUACGGCCCUUACUCCUACGGGAGGCAGCAGUGGGGAAUAUUGGACAAUGGGGGCAACCCUGAUCCAGCAAUUCUGUGUGCACGAAGAAGGUUUUCGGAUUGUAAAGUGCUUUCAGCAGGGAAGAAGUAAGUGACGGUACCUGCAGAAGAAGCGACGGCUAAAUACGUG
rnacentral:rRNA from 1 species